AUGCUGGGGGUUCUGUCCCUUCUUCUAGCUUUCUUGCCUGCGGGCAGACAAACAUCCUCCAACUUGGAAGAAAGAAUAAUGUCAAUCACCAGGCCUGUGGGAUCCUCUGUUAUAUUCACUUGUGAUAUUCACGAUACAAACAAUUAUAUCCACUGGUACCAAUUCCAGGAGCGGAGGGCCCCACGGUACCUUCUCUACUAUAACUUCAUCACUUCCCAAACUGUGGUGGAUGGUGGACUCAGUUCAAAGAAGUACCAUGUUUAUGAAGGCACAGACAAGACUUACAAAUUUGUACUUCGGAAUGUGGAAGAAUCCGAUUCUGGUUUGUAUUACUGUGCCAGCUGGGCUGGCACAAUGAUUCAGCCUUGCCCUUCUCUGUACUGA